GUGGGCCUGGCCAGGAUGCCCAGCAAGGUACCAAGACCAGCACUCUGCUCUACCAGCUGUCCAAACAGACACAUUCCAGAUUUUCAAGUCUUGCCAUAGAUUUAAGGCGAAAAUCAGGAACAUUCACUGUCGUCUCCAGUGUAGAUUUGGCCUUAGCUCGAUUUCGUUUCAUCCAAAUUAUUAUUAUUUUAUAAAAAACAAACAAAAAAACAACACUUGUCAGGCCUUGCCAAUGACAAGCAUGCCCGUAACUUGAUGCAGCCACCGCCAUGCUUGAGAAUAUGAUAGACCACUGCACCACUCUGCAAACUAAGGCACUGCAUCGCAGUUGCUAGCUGUGCCACUAGAGAUCCUGGUUCGAGUUCAGGCUCUGUCGCAGCCGGCCGCGACGGGGAGACACGUGGGGCGGCGCACAAUUGGCCCAGCGUCGUCCGGGUUAGGGGAGGGUUUGGCCGGCAGGGAUGUCCUUGUCCCAUCGCGCUCUAGCUACUCCUGUGGCGAGCCGGGCGCAGUGCACGCUGACACGGUCGCCAGGUGUAUGGCGUUUCCUCCGACACAUUGGUGUGGCUGACUUCCUUAGUUAAGAGGGCAUUGUGUCAAGAAGCUGUGCGGCUUGGUUGGGUCGUGUGUCAAGAAGCAUGGCUCUCGAGCCUCGCCCGAGUCCGUACGGGAGUUGCAGCGAUGAGACAAGACUAACUGCCAAUUGGAUAUCACGAAAUUGGUGAGAAAAAGGGGUAAACGUAAUUAAAAAAAAAAUGUAAACCUUGACGAGUGGUACUCAGUGAUGUGUUGUGUUUGUCUCAAACAAAAAAAGAAUUUCUUUGUCACAUUUUUUGCAGUUUUACUUUUUGCCUUACUGCAAACAGGAAGCACGUUUUGGAAUACUUUUAUUCUGUACAGGAUUAUUUUUUUUCACUCCGUCAAUUAGGUUAGUAUUGUGGAGUAAUUACAAUGUUGUUGAUCCAUCCUCAGAGUUAUUAAUGGUUAUGAUAGGAGAACUAACUAUUUUAAAGUCACAAUUGGCUUCAUGGUGAAAUCCCUGAGCCGUUUCCUUCCUCCCCAGCACCUGAGUUAGGAAGGACACCUGUUACUUUGUAGUGACUGGGUGUAUUGAUAAACCAUCCAAAAGUGUCAUUAAAAACUUCACAACGCUCAAAGAGAUAUUCAAAGUCUGCUUGUUUAGCUAUACCUUUGAGCAUGGUGAAGUUAUUAAUUACACUUUGGAUGGUGUAUCAAUACACCCAGUCACUACAAAUAUUCCGGCAUCUACGUUAGGAAGGGAUUUCACAAUGACGCCAAUGGUGACAUUAAAACAGUUAGUUUAAUGGCUGUGAUAGAAUAGGAGGAUGGAUCAACAACAUUGUAGUUACUCCACAAUACUAACCUAAAUGACAGAGUGAAAAGGACAAAGCCUCUACAGAAUAAUACAAAUAUUCCAAAACAGGCACCAAAUUUAAACUGGAAAAAAUGUGGCAAAGAAAUUAACUUUAUGUCCUGAAUACAAAGCUUUAUGUUUGGGGUAAAUCCAACACAACACAGCACUGAGUACCACUCAUCAUAUUUCCAAGAAUGGUGUUGGCUGCAGUUUAUGGGUAUGUAUGCUUGUCAUCAGCAAGGACUGGGGAGUUUUUCCAGGUUAAAAAAUAAACGUAAUAGACUUAAGCACCGGCAAAAUCCUAGAGGAAAACCUGGUUCAGUCUGCUUUCCACCAGACACUGGGAGACAAAAUCACCUUUCAGCAGGACAAUAACCUAAAACACAAGGCCAAAUCUACACUGGAGUUGCUUACCAAGAGAACAAAUGUAUGUUCCUGAGUGGCCUAGUUACAGUUUUGACUUAAAUAUCUAUGGCAAGACUGGAAAAUGGCUGUCUAGCAAUGAUCAACAACCAAUUUGACAAGAGGUUGAACAAUAUAAAACAGAAUGUGUAAAUAUUGGUGUGCAAAGCGCUAAGAGACUUACCCAGAAAGACUCACAGCUGUAAUCGCUGCCAAAUGUGAUUCUAACAUGUAAUGACUCAGGGGGUGGAAUACUUCUCUCUGCACACCCUGACCUCGUGUAAACACAGGUUAGAAUAAUGUAGAUUUCCUGUGGUGGCCCCUCCCACCUUGCCUUCACAGACUACAUCGGUUUUCUUUGCUACACACCCCAGUGAGACUAGUUCCAUUUGUCAUGUGUUGAUUGUGGGCAGACAAACCGCCUGUCUGCGCCCAGAUAGCAGGCUGUUAUUAAUCACAAUUACAGGAGCUGCAUCAAUAUACCCUCCUCCCGGCUGCACACCCUCCUACUCAGCCCUGGCUGGCUGGCUGGGUGGCUGGCUGGGUGGCUGGCUGGCGGCCCACCAUUUGGAGGGCAGUAAAUACAGGGUGAUAACAGCAACAUCAUUUACCCUGGCCCACUGCCUUCUUAUAUUAGCAAUCUGUUCAUUUUUAACCUUCCCCACCUUCAGGAGAAAUUGUGAUUUAAUAUUGCAGCUGAUUCACUGCGUGCUGUUUCUGACAGGCGUGAUGAAUAGCCUGAAGUGAUGUAUGAAAACAGACGAGGCGCCUGGCAAUAUAGAUGAGGCAGCCAUUAGGGUUUGCCCUGAUAGUUGUUUCACACUCCCUCCCCUGCUCACGUUUCAUUUGGCCUGUGUUGAAAUGAACAAAGAGCCAUUUCUCUGCACUGUGGGAAACUUUGGAGGUGUGAAGGAAGCAAUGAAUGAUCUCCAAGCCAAAACAGGAGGUUUAGAAAAAGACUGGCUCACUUCUAUACAGCAGCACAGAGCCUGACAGACUGCCUUCACGGGACUUUAAACCACUGCCGUGCCGUCCAUCCACGGGACUUUAAACCACUGCCGUGCCGUCCAUCCACGGGACUUUAAACCACUGCCGUGCCGUCCAUCCACGGGACUUUAAACCACUGCCGUGCCGUCCAUCCACGGGACUUUAAACCACUGCCGUGCCGUCCAUCCACGGGACUUUAAACCACUGCCGUGCCGUCCAUCCACAGGCCAUUAAACCACUGCCGUGCCGUCUAUCCACGGGACUUUAAACCACUGCCGUGCCGUCCAUCCACGGGACUUUAAACCACUGCCGUGCCGUCUAUCCACGGGACUUUAAACCACUGCCGUGCCGUCUAUCCACGGGACUUUAAACCACUGCCGUGCCGUCCAUCCACCGGAGGAGAGGUGCAUUGGAUCUACCACCUUGAAGAACGCCCCAUUAUCAGGACAUUAAAAUGGCCAUCAGUACACUCCGAUUGGAUUCUCUGGGCUACAUUUACAAUGGUUCACAACACAACAUGCUUCAACACUGACUGUCCAUGAUUGGCUUAAAGAUUGUUCCUUUCACAUGAAUAUGCAACAAGAAGCUAUAAUUAUUACUGUGACAUUUUUUUGCACCGUUCAAAAGAUGAAAACAAUUCAGGGGCUAUUUGGAUUAGCUAUUUGUUUCCUUUUCAAGAAGUGCAGGGCUAAUGUGACAAAAUGAAUGUUUGAUUCCCUUAUCAUUAACAAUCGAUGGAUAUCAUCCAUCUUAGUAGGCAUGUGUAUAUUUACUAUAGCUCUCUCUAACCAGGGUCAAAAUGUCUGCAUUGAAAAUGAAACUAGACCCUUAUAAUGCAACA
rnacentral:lncRNA from 1 species